rnacentral:SRP_RNA from 1 species
UGUUAAUGAUAUAACGCUAUAAGUUUAAAAAAAUGGUCAGGUCUGGGAAGAAGCAGCCAACUUAAAUAAGUAGGUGUUAUUGUUUUUAUUGACAAGA